rnacentral:lncRNA from 7 species
AAUUAAUGGUGUGCAGGGCUGCCUGGCUCUGUGGCAGGCAGGGGAGAUGCAAGCGAGCGGAGGGUGUCACGCCUCCCCCUCUCACCGCUCGGCUGGGAAAACCGCUGGACCAAAAAGCGGGGCAAAGAAUACAUUCAUUCAUGGCUAAAGGCAGCUUUUGUCCAUUAGAGAAAACCCACGGAGAGGAACCAUCCCCGUCUGGCUCUGGCGUCCAGGCGCAGGCGAGUGGCCAGGCAGCCGCUGGUGUGAUGCCUACGUAGCACCGCGCCAUGGAGACGGGACAGGGGAUUCCUGAGGUGACGGGGCUGCAGCGCGAGAGUGGAGCGGCACGGGAUGGCAUUUCUACAGAUAUCUUAGAACGCUGUGAAGUCCAUAAGUGCUUCAGGCUGCAUUAACAUGUGUUCAUCAUCCUGGGCUGUGUCCUGCAACUGGAAUCCCUCAUCACUGAGCAUCUCAGGUUGUCUCCUCAAGAGUCCUCAAGUUCCUUCUUGUCCAGCAGGUGGGCAAGAGUGUGUCAAGCUCCAGAUCUGAGAAAUCUGGGAGUGUUGGAGGGAUCUCAAGAAGAUAAAAAUACCAACUUGCCACCAAAUGCAACAAUACAGCUCUUCAGCAUUGCCUGGAUGAUGAGUGAACAGAAAUCCCUGCAGCCCUAAAUGCUCCCACCUGAUCAGUCCCCCAGAAGCUGCCUUUGCCUUCAGAACCUGAUGAAAGGGGACUUGAAGAGCUGGAUAUCUGUAUUUUUAGGGCAGCUUUUCAUGAGCCUACCGGCUCUUACCUCCUAGGCCAGCCUGUGGCAGAGAGAUCUCCUUCUGAGCUGUGGCCCUAAGGUAGCAGCUCCUCUGCUCUGCACCAGCACUGAGCCUCUGGGUUUUUUCCUGGUAGGAUGGGAGAGCCUAAAGCAGUUGUGUUAGAUCCUGCUGCCCAUCUGAUUGUAGAUAAAAGAAAAAAAAAACAGAAGAUAAAUGAGAAAAUGAGGAGAGCCAUCAUACUGCUUGGGUAGAGCUGGUAAAACCUCACUCCAGGAUAUUUGUUAAGGUCAGUGGAAUUUAAGCACUUUCUUGGAAAUUUGUGUAAGCGGUUCUGUGAGCAAAAGCUCCGGAGCAGGCUUGGGCAAGGCCUGGCAGGGCAAACGUGACUGCAGGCAGAAGCACUCUCUCUUUCCCUGGGAUGCAAACUCGCUAACCUCUGUGGGAUGGUGGGGACAACAUGAGGAAUGAGCACAUGGAUUGCAUAACACGCUAUGUCAGAAACUAGGCUUGAUGCUGAGCCAAUGUAAAUUUAAACCAAGUGCUACAUUAGGUCAGAUCAAAAGUCCACCUUGUUCAUUCUCCUGACUUUGACAACAACUACAAGCGUUGAGUUCAGGGGUACAGCAUAAAAGUCGGACCUUUGCAGAAUGAUCUUUCCCCACUAUGGGCCCCUAGCCUCAGAUGUGUCCGAAGACGGAGUUUUGGCUGGACCAUUGUGUUUAGCAGUGAGAGCCUUCUCCAGAAGCUCUCCUAGAGCCUUGUUGGAGCCAUGUGGGUAUGUUCUUCCCACACUGAGCUCCGCAGGGUGGUCAUGGGGCGGCCACGCGCAACGUGAAAGGAAUAGCGCUACCAAAUGGAUAGAGGGGCCUCAUGAAGGUGUGCCGCACAAAAUCCGGCCCCUGCCUUCCACUCACGCUUCUCAGCACUCACGCAGCGGAAGACUAAACACUGUUCUGUGCUUCUGGAGGAGUCCUGCAGACGGAGCAUACAGAAGGAGCUGAAGAAGCCCAAGUUUGAAAGAAGUUGCCGGUCAUUACCGCGCGAGGGAUGCCUCCACGGGAAUUCCACAAAGUGAUGUUAAUUGUGAUGCUUUGAAAAUGUUGUGUAAACAAGUGUUUCUGAGAUACAUAUGUUGCAAGUUAUUAUGCGGCCAUAAAAGAGCAAGGAAAGAAGAAACCGAAACACAAAAUGUUCUGUGACGCCAGAACGCACUUCUGGAGAGUAUCAGUUUGCAAACCGCAGUGUAAGUUUAUGCCCACAAUUCAAUUGACCUCCUGAAAGCAAAGGUAAACAGGAAUAGAAGGGCAGGCGUCUGCGGUUCCCUCUCUCCUCUGGAGAAAUAUAUUCUCUAUCAAGCU